UUGAUUUAGUUUGACUAAUGCUUAUAAUAUGGUCAUCAUCCUCAUGUUUAUAAUAUGUUGAAAGUCAUCUGUGGCCUGUAGUGCAUAGAUGGACUUGGUAUGAUUAUAACCAGGGAUUAUUUGGUAUAAUCAUGACCGUAAUGUUACAAAUAAUGUGGAAAAAGUCCUCAUUGGCCCGUAGUGCAUUGAUGGACAGUUUUUGGUAUGAUUAUGGCUAUGGAUUCUCUUCGGCCAAGGGUGUAAAGAUGAAUUGUUUUAUGGCAU
rnacentral:lncRNA from 1 species